rnacentral:lncRNA from 1 species
GAUUGGCAAAAAUUAAAAAGUCUGACCAUUCCAAGUAUUGAAAGGAUGUGAAGAAACAGGACUAUCAGACACAGCUAGAAAGAGCAAUAUCCAUGAAAGCCACUUUGGAAAGCAAUUUAAAGGUGAAGGUGAAACUAUUCAUACUCUGUGGCCUAGCGAUUCUAUUCCUAAAAUUAUACUCUGAGAAAUUCUCCCAUAUGUACUUGGAGUCAUGUACAAGAAUGUUCUCUGCAGAAUUGUUUGGAUAACAAAGAACUAGAAAUAACCUAAAUGUUCAAAAAGAAGAACUGAUAAAUUGUAAUGUAAUCAAAUCACAGAAUAGAAUACUAUAAAUACAGUAAAAAUGACUAACUAGUGUUGUAUGAAAGGAGAGAAGGUUAGCAUUCCCCUUGACAAGAAUGGAAGAGGUCCUCGUCCUAACAAGCAUAUGGUUAAGACAUUGCCACCUAUUUUGUGGAAUUUAACCAUCAUUUUUCUAGGAAUUAGAACAGAGAUCUUGCAUCUAAUAGAGGAAAAAGUAGGCCCAAAUCCUCAUCAUGUCAGAUUAACUGACUUCCUUAAUUCAAGAAAUAAAAAAGAAUUAAUAAAUGGGAUGGACUCAAACUAAAAAGCUUCUUCUCAGCAAAAGAAAUAAUGAGGUGAAGAGUGAGCCUACAUUAUCAAAGCAAAUUUUUGCCACUGCCGCAGCCCGGCUGCUGCAGCAAAAUAACCGGGGGGUGACAAAUAACUUGUGUACGUUGAUAUAGCAGGAGUAGGAGCCGUUUAUUGCAGGACAGGAGCAGUAUUUAUACAUUCCACACAGCUUAUCUAAUUAGCAUAAACUAGAUACAUCAGUCAACCAAUAAGGAAUCUCCACACUUAAUGGCUCGCUUUUGUUACUUCUCAAACCACUCCCUCUGGCAUUUUGCCAGGCACCAUCCAGACUUGUUUACGAACUCUAACAUUCCCCUGGCAAAAUGCCAGGUGUUAUUUUUGACUUGUUUACAGACUCUAACAUGCCACAUGCAAGUCAGAGCACUAAUCUCCAGGAUGUAUCAAGAACUCAAAAAAAAAAAAUUAACUCCAAAAAAAAAAAAAGCCCAAUCAAUAAAUGGGCUAAGGAGCUGAACAGUCAGAAGAAGAUAUACAGACAAUCAAUAAAUAUAUGAAAAAAUGUUCAACAUCUCUAGCAAUUAGAGAAAUGCAAAUCAAAACUACUCUAAGAUUUCAUCUCACUCCAAUAAGAAUGGCAGCUAUUAAAAAUACAAACAGCAAUAAGAGUUGGCAAGGAUGUGGGGAAAAAGGCACACUCAUACAUUGCUGGUGGGACUGAAAAUUAAUGCAGCCAAUAUGGAAAGCAGUAUGGAGAUUCCUUGGAAAUCUGGGAAUGGAACCACUUUUUGACCCAGCUGUCCCACUCCUCAAUCUACAGCCAAAGGACUUAAAACCAGCAUACUACAGGGACAUAACCAUAUCAAUGUUUAUAGCAGCACAAUUCACAAUAGCUAAACUGUGGAGCCAACCUAGAUGCCAUUUAGUAGAUGAAUGAAUAAAGAAAAUUACACACACACACACACACACACAGACACAAUGGAAUAUUAUUCAGCAUUAAAAAGGAAUGAAAUCAUGGCAUUUGCAGGUAAAUGGAUGGAUUUGGAAAGUAUCAUGCUAAGCAAAGUAAGUCAAUUCCAAAAAAACCAAAGGCCAAAUGUUCUCUCUGAUAAGUGGAUGCUGCUCCAUAAUGGGAGGUACAUGGGAAAAAUUGAGGAAUUUU